UGAUGCAUGAGCUUAGUGGAGGAUAAAAGUCAAGGCAAUGAUAUACGGGCAUCUCUGGCAUCUGCAUGGGAUCGGCUCCAGAACAUCUGGGAACGCUGCUCGUCUCUUAGAUGAAAUGGUGUGGACUUGGAACUUGUCCUCAUCUUCCUGCACAUUAAAAUCCUCUCAGAAUUACUAACACAUCAAACACAGGGCAAAUCCUGUGCUUAACAGUUACACUCUCUUGUUCAUGGAGUAAUGAUAAAAAAAUUCAUAUCUCUACAUGUUCAGUGCAGAUGCAAUUUAUGUUUUAUGUUUUUAAUCUUUAACAGCUGCAGAACCUGGGACCACAGCCAGCUACAUUUUCUUGGAGAGGAUACAAGGGGAAAGAAAGCGGACAUGAAAGAGGACCAGAUAGAAAACAAAUAGUGAAAUGGCAGGUACCAACCAGUAGAAGCAGUCACUCCACUAGAGGUCAAGUUCUAACUCAAGUUGACAUGAGAUCUUCAGGAUAAGCAAAAUAAUAAUAAAAUCCAAACAUUUAAACUGAUAUUAUACUUAAUAUGAAAGUCCAGAAACUUUAAAAGAAAAAAAUGUGCAAGGUAUACCAUGAAAACACUAAUCGAUAAUUCUCAAGAUGGAUGUGUGAGCAGAUUAUGCACUCUGAAGCUCAUUUAUGAGAAGCAUUCACCUUUGCUAACGAUCAGAGAAACACACAUAAAAUUGUAUAGAAAUCAGCUAAGAUGUGGCGAUGUACACUGGCUAAAGAUAGAUGACAUGCAACUUUAGCAGAACUGAAUCCUCUGAUGCUUUUUAAUAGUGUUGGGGUGUGGCAGAUAUUCACAGUGAUGUGCAAAUCUGAUUAGAAUUACCUACUGUGGUUGAAGAUGUCUGUUUUCAUCUUCUUCUCCAGUGUUCUUCUCCUGAGUAUAAGCACAACCAAGUAUGUGUGUGUGUUCAAAAGAUCCACACAUGAAGGAUCCUGAAGUGUUAUUCAAAUGUCCUAUACUGGCAACGCCAUGCUAUGCUGGAAGGACAUGCUUGACAUAUUCAUGCAGUGGAAUGCAAGGAAGCACUGAAAUUAGCAAACUCAUCAAACAGUGAAUGACCAACCUGUCAGGAUGAGUGGAGGAAACUGGUCACAACAUAUCCUGUGGCUAUGGACUUAGGGAUCUGGGUUUCAGGGUAGCGGAUUUCUUUAAGAAGUGUGAGGCCACCAGAAAGUGGUAUGAAGGUUGUCUGGUUGUUGGCAUUGUUAUUAACCUGAGAUGGGCCAUGCAUAAAUUUUAUUUUGCAAAAAAUUUACUAUAUUGUACAUUUACAGUGUGAGCAUUGAUUUAAUUGAAAGAGUUAACAAUGGACACACAUGCAAAAUAACACAUGAGCAUUACAAGAAGAAUCAAGGCAGCAUAGAAGCAUCAGACAUGCUACCAUGAUCUUUUAGGGGAUGAAGGAGGAAAGGAAGCAAAGAAGUAGAAGACCAUUGGUGACAUAUCGUCCAGGAUAAUAAGUGAGAAAAUGAAAUUCGCUCUCCCUCCUUGAGGCGCACACACUCAUCACUCAAGCCCCUGGCGUCUUCCUUCCUUCUUCCUCACUGGCUAGCCGUGAGUCCUGUGCAGGACUGGCUGAGCCUUUGAAACAGGAAUCCUGGGGCCGCGUGUAGCCACCUCGUCCAUCUCUUUCCAAGUGCUCUUCGGAAAUGACCUCAUCAUUACUGGUUACACUCCGAAGGGUAAUCUCCUUUAGUGAAUGGGCGGAGGGCGUGCUCCUGGAGGCGCGCUUCGUAUCGUUGCCGUGAGGUAUUGUAUUGUUCUGGAAAGGUGAACAAAGGAAAUGGCUCUCAAACUGUUUUCACAUCCGAGGAUGAGAACUGUGUUACAGAACCUAUUAUGAGAGGAAACGGCACAGUCAAAGGUGGCGGCUGACCUCUGAAACCCAGCCUCCCGGACUCUUCUGGGCAUUCCGGUGCUUGCCAAGGACUGGCAUAGCAGCUCUUCUCUCAGAGGAAACUAUACUGAAGGCUUAAACAGGACUGUCUGUGGAGGUACCCUGGGAAUGCCCAUAGUUGACGUCCUAAGUGAUUCUCAUGUUCUCAGAAGUCAGAGCACUGUUCAAGUAGAGGGAUGCACAACAAAGACCAUUCCCAAGGACAAAGGUAACUUUUCCUGCCUGGAGUUCACCAGGAUGGACAGUUUUUAGUGUUAUCUCUAGACUGUAGGGGAUGUGUCUAAGUACAUUUGGCUACCAUCAUGAUCCAGAUUGAAUAAUUUCAUGUCAUCAUAAAAUGAAGCUGGUAGUCUAGAGCUGUAGUUCAAUUGGAAGAAUACUUGCCCAGCAUGCACUGGUUUGAUGCGCAGCAUCCUAUAAAUGGGGCAUAGCGGCCCACACCUAUGAUCCUAGCACUUGGGAGGUGGAAGCAGGAGGCUUAGAAGCUCAAAGCCAUCCUCAACUAGAUAAUGAGUUUUAAGCUAGCCUAGGAUAAUGAGACCCUGUCUAAAAUUAAAGAUAAAAUGAACAACCAGAAAUAACCCAUAAGGAAAGACUCCGAAGGCAGGGUUCUGAAGGAGGUUCUGUAUCUGCCGAGCCACAGGCCACCUCUCUGGUCCUUCUCCCUCUAGCUGGUCAUCUCCAGCUCCAUCAGCUCAAUGAGACCCCAGUGCUGAGUCUCGGAGUCCCGUGAGUGUCUCACAGCCCCAGCCUGCAGGCACCAAUGCCAGCGGCAUUGGAUGAUGUUUGUCCCUGUUAAUUUCUGCCCAUCCUUCUUCUUGGUCUUGGAGGUUAAUCUCCCUCCUGCUGACAUGUGUGUGGAGGAUUUCCUAGCAGUGAAAUUAAUUUUUAUAAAAUUCAAUUAUAGAUACCCAAUCUCAUUCUCCUUUCUUGGAAAUUCCAUAUCCUCGUCUACAUUAGAAUCCACCAACAGCAGCCAUGUCUUCCUCCGGGGGAGAUGUUUUACAGCAAUCGUCUUUCUCUAGGAAGCUAGCACUCCAGGCGAUGUGACUGUCUUAUGAAUAAUAAAGGGAAAACUUGGUCUUUUUUCCCUGUGCUUGGGGUAACUCUGACUGGUUCCAGGUCUUUGUCCUCAGGCUCUGAGACACUCCUGCGUGGAGGCAGGCACCAGAAGAGAAGGUUUCUGAGCAUGUUGUCUGAGAAGCUGAACAAGAGAGAGCACUUUUACAUUUGCAUGGAGGGGGGUCACAGUCUGACCAGCUGCUCUUCUGAGAGCCAUGCAGGAUAGAACAACACUUUGAACUACCCAGCAUGGUGUCAAGUGUUGACCUAUAGUGGAAACAAACCUGAGACCGAAUUCACUGUGGAUUGUGAUGCACCUAUUAAAAUCUGCAAAGUGACAAUGUUUCUGGCAGUCCCCUGCUUCAGCAUGGUGGUAGUUUCAUUCAUAAUUUCUGCUGGCUCCUGGAGUUCUGUUCUUCAGGCAGGGUCGCACUCAGAAGACCAGAGGUACAGAGGAGCUGGUUUCAUAGCUCUACAUGGACACCAAGUCCAAUUAUCUGUUGGGCUGUCUCCUUGAGCAGGCUUGGAGGGAGAGUCUAUCAUUGCCUCCUCCCUCCCUGCUGCCUGUGACCCCUGGUGUCCCUGGACUAUCCGGGUAUCACUAUAGUUUAAGCUUCUGCCUUCCUUUCCCUUUGUCCUGUUUGUCUUGAUGGCUCCUUGGCUCUUCCUCUAGGAACAGUGGCUAUUGGGUUUAGGGCCCGCCUACUCCAGUGUGAUCUGGGUGAUCUACUCUGUUCUCAGAUCAGGUCACUUCACAGGUAUCUGGGACAAGUGUGCAGUUCCAGGGCAGACACCCUGCCCACAGCUAAUGGUUGCCGUUUUUGUACCUUCUACUUGAGAGCUCUCUUCUUCUUCGUUGAGGAUGAAAUGGACUUAGAUUAUGUGGCCUGUGUGAUUCCCCCCAAGAAAGACAGGAUAUGGGGGAAGACGGUGAACCUGUGUGAUCUGCACUUGCCUUUCGGAACAGUGGGAAGCUGGGGAUCCCACUCCUCUGAGCCGCAGCCAGGACUGAGAUGAGCGUGGACUUUUUGAGACCCCUACCCUGCUUCUGCUCUGCUGUGUAACAUGUGAUCCCUGAGGCCAGUCCUC